rnacentral:rRNA from 1 species
UACGGAAGGUCCCGGCGUUAUCCGGAUUUAUUGGGUUUAAAGGGAGCGUAGGCCGUGGAUUAAGCGUGUUGUGAAAUGUAGACGCUCAACGUCUGACUUGCAGCGCGAACUGGUUCACUUGAGUGUGCGCAACGCAGGCGGAAUUCGUGGUGUAGCGGUGAAAUGCUUAGAUAUCACGAAGAACUCCGAUUGCGAAGGCAGCUUGCGGGAGCACAACUGACGCUGAAGCUCGAAAGUGCGGGUAUCAAACAGG